GAAUAUUGGACAAUGGUCGGAAGACUGAUCCAGCCAUGCCGCGUGAAGGACGAAGGCGCUCAGCGUUGUAAACUUCUUUUGGAUGGGAAUAAUGACCUUGAUUUAUCAGGGCUUGAAGGUACCAUCAGAAUAAGCACCGGCUAACUCCGUGCCAGCAGCCGCGGUAAUACGGAGGGUGCGAGCGUUAUCCGGAAUCACUGGGUUUAAAGGGUGCGUAGGCGGCGAGGUAAGUCAGUUGUGAAAGUCCCCGGCUCAACCGGCGGGACUGCGAUUGAUACUGCUUUGCUUGAAACAGGUUGAGGGAAGCGGAAUGUGGCAUGUAGCGGUGAACUGCAUAGAUAUGCCAUAGAACACCGAUUGCGAAGGCAGCUUGCUGGGCCUGAUUUGACGCUGAGGCACGAAAGCGUGGGGAGCAAACAGG
rnacentral:rRNA from 1 species